GAGCCACUUCCGCCCUCACUGGUUGCCGUGGUAACAGGCCUCCGGUGGAGGGCGGGGACCCUCGGAAGCCAGCUGGGUGACGAUCGCUUGUCUGCCUUGGCAGGCCCCUUGUGCAGUCUUUUCCCGGCGUGAGCGUGCAGGGAUUGAAAAGGAAUGCUUUUUGGUUCAGCAGAGAGCCACCACGCAGGAUGCACUGGGACCUGAGAACCGUCGGGCAGUCCCACGAGCUCUUUCAUGACCAGCUCCAACCGACAAGUACACGCCCCUUCUCGCACUCCACUAGCUAGUAAGCUGAGCUACAAGGUGUGCCAGGCACCCAGGACGCCGAUUCACCGCUUCAGACUGAAUUUUUCCACCACCUGGAUGAACAUAGCAGAAAGAACAUAGUGUUUUAGAGUCAGACACAAUAGGAAUCAGGCACUUUGGAAUCUUGGCUCUGCCACCUUUGAGCUAUCCCAAGAGCCCUCUUUCUUCCAUUCACUUACUUGUCUAGUCAAACACCCAUCAGACCUUUGCCAGGUGUCCAGCCUGGGCACUACGUUUCAGAAAAUGAUGCACAUAGAAUCCCUAACUGAAAGGAGAUCGCAGCUCAUUUGGUACAAAGUGUUCUGGAGUCCAGAAGUCCAAAAUCAAAGGCUGUGCUCUCUUAGAAGGCUCGAGGAGAGAAUCCUUCAAUGCCCCUUCCAGAUUCUGGUGGCUCCAGGUAACGGCAGAGUCCCAAAACACAUGAAGCAAGAACUGACAGAACUGGAGGGAGACAUCAAUCAAUAACAACAGUUGGAGAAUUCAAUACCCUGCUCUGAAUAAUGGAUAGAACAAUUAGGCAGAAGACCAACAAAGAAAGUGGAUAUUUGAACAACGUGAUAAGCCAAUUUGACCUAAUAAAUAUCUUUAUCUGUGAAACACCCUAGCUUUUAGCCUGGGUAAGGAGCUGGAGAGAUGUGAAAAUGUGGAAAGCAAGCCUAAAUCGCAGUGUGGCCUAUGCCUGAGAGCCAUCUUCAGUGCCCCCUUGUGGCUGUAUCUGGGAACCACAGACAGAAUCAUGGAACUGACCAUCUUCAGUCUCAAAGGGCUGCCCUCACCACUACACCCAAGGGCAGGUGGUCUUCGGGGGAAAGGCGGUUCCAGUUCCUUCUCCCAAGCCAGUGAGGAAGUCAAUCCUGCAAACAACUGCAGGAACGGCCUUGGGAGUGGAUCCUUCCUCAGCCCGGCUCCAAGACAACUGCAGCCCUGUGAGAAACCCUGAGUGGAGGACCAAGCCAAGCCUCAAAUCGUGACUUGGAACUGGGAGACAACAGAUGCUGUUGGAAGCCAUUGAGCUCUGAAGUAGUUUGUUACACAGUGACAGGUAACUUACACACCAUGGCAGGGUCAUGUGGGCCAAAGGUGCAAGGGGCUAGAAGGCUCAGAGGGCAGCCAGCUGGGGACCCAGUCUUCCCCAGGUGUCAGCAGCAGAUGCAGAUGCAGCCCCAGCAAUAACUCAUAGAGGAUUCUCACUUUCAUUUAUUUUCAAGGCAUAUACAAAAGUCUGACAUGGUGCAAUGAUCUCAUCAAGAGAUAACAGAACACACAGGAGAGGGUUGGGUUUCCUCCCCGGCCCAACCCCCUCAGGAAGGCACAGAAAAGUGAGGCUUGGGUUCGGGGGCCACCUGCUUUGGAACUAAUCUGCUGCUCAGAAGGCCAGGCCCCUUCUGAAGAGGGACCUCUUCCUCACAUCCAGAAUCUAGGAUCUGGGGAAAGUAAACUGAGGCCACCAGUAAGCAUGUGCUCCAGGCCAAGGCUGAGUCUGUGCUGCAUCCAUGUCAUCAGCCACCCAAGAAAAACCAGUUACUCCACCUAGCUCAUGGUGGCGGCAUCCUCCCUGCAAUGGUGCAUGGGGGGCAGUCCUUUCCCCUGCAGGGUGUCAUUGCCACCCCCAUCCUCAUCCUGGAGGCCAGUCCAGGCUCCGAUAUGAGUGACUAGGGGUGAGGUGGGGGUGGCAGAAGGGAGAUCAAACUGGAGCAUUCCAGAUGCCUACUACUGCCCUCACACAACGGGGCAACUGUGCUCUCCAACUCCUCCCCUUGGCAGAGAAACUGGUCCUGCAGUUUCAGGACUAGACGAGCGUGGGGUAGUGGCAAUAGAGGGGCUUGUAUGAGAAGUGGCUUUCGCCUCUCAUCCCUAGGGGCAAAAAGUGAAUCAUCUAACUGGUCCAAGUCACUAAUGGCAAUCCUUCUUCCCCAAGAAGACUGAGUUUCCUUUGUCACUUAAGGAAGGGAAGAAGAGAGGUUAGCUGAGCUACCCAGAUUAGGCCCAGAUUUAGCCACCACCUAGAACAGGGCAAGCUGGAAGUGAAAGAACUUGAAAUACUGACUUUUUCCUUCUUAAAAAAGACCUAACAUUGUAAUGGUUUAGC